CGGUGAAUACGUUCCCGGGCCUUGUACACACCGCCCGUCACACCAUGGGAGUUGGUUCUACCCGAAGCCGGCGCUUUGAAACGCCGACCACGGUAGGGUCAGCGACUGGGGUG
rnacentral:rRNA from 1 species